rnacentral:rRNA from 1 species
UACAGAGGUCUCAAGCGUUGUUCGGAUUCAUUGGGCGUAAAGGGUGUGUAGGUGGCGCGCUAAGUCGGGUGUGAAAUUUCGGAGCUUAACUCCGAAACUGCAUUCGAUACUGGCGUGCUUGAAUCCGGGAGAGGGAUGUGGAAUUCCAGGUGUAGCGGUGAAAUGCGUAGAUAUCUGGAGGAACACCGGUGGCGAAGGCGGCAUCCUGGACCGGUAUUGACGCUGAGGCGCGAAAGCUAGGGGAGCAAACGGG